rnacentral:lncRNA from 1 species
AGCUCCAAGUUGAUUCGGGGCUUAAUCGAGUCUUUGGCAUCUACUUUGUUACCGUAUAGUAGUUAAGGGUAAGGCGGGGCCUUGUCCCGACCUAAACUAAGGUUGUCUAUCUUGUAGAGGCUUUGUAGACUAAUGUAUAAAGUUUGGUUGUGUCUUGUCUCUUAACAAUUGUGGCCUCAACGGCCAAGUGUUGUACAUAAGUUUUGGGCCUGUCUAUGUCGGUCUUUUAUCGCUAC